rnacentral:lncRNA from 1 species
CUCUGAUGCCGAGCCGAGGCUGGACGGUACUGCUGCCAUCUCGGCUCACUGCAGCCUCCCUGCCUGAUUCUCCUGCCUCAGCCUGCCGAGUGCCUGCGAUUGCGGGCGCGCGCCGCCACGCCUGACUGGUUUUCGUUUUUUUUUGGUGGAGACGGGGUUUCGCUGUGUUGGCCGGGCUGGUCUCCAGCUCCUAGCCGCGAGUGAUCCGCCGGCCUCGGCCUCCCGAGGUGCCGGGAUUGCGGAUGGAGUCUCGUUCACUCAGUGCUCAAUGGUGCCCAGGCUGGAGUGCAGUGGCGUGAUCUUGGCUCGCUGCAACCACCUCCCAGCCACCUGCCUUGGCCUCCCGGAGAGCCGAGAUUGCAGCCUCUGCCCGGCCGCCACCCCGUCUGGGAAGUGAGGAGCGUCUCUGCUUGGCCACCCAUCGUCUGGGAUGUGAGGAGCCCCUCUGCCUGGCUGCCCAGUCUGGAAAGUGAGGAGCGUCUCUGCCCGGCCGCCAUCCCAUCUGGGAAGCGAGGAGCGCCUCUUCCCCGCCGCCAUCCCAUCUAGGAAGUGAGGAGCGUCUCUGCCCGGCCGCCCAUCGUUUGAGAUGUGGGGAGCACCUCUGCCCCGCCGCCCUGUCUGGGAUGUGAGGAGCGCCUCUGCUGGGCCGCAGCCCUGUCUGGGAGGUGGGGAGCGUCUCUGCCCGGCCGCUCCGUCUGAGAAGUGAGGAAACCCUCUGCCUGGCAACCGCCCCGUCUGAGAAGUGAGGAGCCCCUCCGUCCGGCAACCACCCCGUCUGGGAAGUGAGGAGCGUCUCCGCCCAGCAGCCACCCCGUCCGGGAGGGAGGUGGGGGGGUCAGCCCCCCGCCCGGCCAGCCGCCCCGUCCGGGAGGUGAGGGGCUCCUCUGCCCGGCCGCCCCUACUGGGAAGUGAGGAGCCCCUCUGCCCGGCCAGACGCCCCGUCCAGGAGGGAGGUGGGGGGGUCAGCCCCCCGCCCGGCCAGCCGCCCAGUCCGGGAGGGAGGUGGGGGGUCAGCCCCCCGCCCGGCCAGCCGCCCCGUCUGGGAGGGAGGUGGGGGGAUCAGCCCCCCGCCUGGCCAGCCGCCCCAUCCGGGAGGUGAGGGGCGCCUCUGCCCGGCCGCCCCUACUGGGAAGUGAGGAGCCCCUCUGCCCGGCCAGCCGCCCCGCCCGGGAGGGAGGUGGGGGGGUCAUCCCCCCACCUGGCCAGCCGCCCCAUCUGGGAGGGAGGUGGGGGGGUCAGCCCCCCGCCCGGC